AUCAACUAGGAAAAUUUGUCGCCUUAAUUAUAUGUAUGGAGGAAAACUAGUAUUUCAAGAAUUGUUCCAUGUAAUUAGAUCCAUGUUUCUCAAAAUGUUCUCCAGAGAUAGCUGACACCACAUCAUCUGAGGAGUUACCUGCAGGUUAUCUGUCUCUAACCAAGACCUACUGAAUCCGAAUACUUGGGAGUAUGGCCUCGAUUUUCACUCAGGUUUCCACUGUACUCGCCAAGCUGAACUUCUAAGUCAGACCCAAGAUGUUCUAUUACUAAACUGUUUUCAGAACAAAGAGCAUAACCCACCUUCAUGUUCCAGUGCUGCAUAUGUGUGUGACUGAUGGGAGCCAAUAAACACCCCAGGCACCUGUGUUUCCAUGGUAGAGAAGGAGGAGAAUGUCACUGUUUCCUCAGGGAAGACAAUAAAUGUAAACGUGUCACCACCUCAGACUCUGAGCCAGGUUAGGUCCAGGAAAGGAGGCUUCUAGGGCCGUGCAGAGACGCAGCUCCAAGUAUCUCUGAGAUCCCAGAAGUCCUCUCAUUCCAAUUCACGGUGCUAUCUGUGACAGAAGUUUCUCGGCCUUCUGGCAGUUUCGGGUACAAUCAGCCAGACAAUGCCGGAGCGCUCACGAUGCGAUGCCUGCGGCUGAGAUAACGCCCAGCUGUGAUUUUAUUUCCCACUGUUUGGAUAAUACACUUGUUCUUACUACAUUCACCGAAACAGCCUGCCAGAGAAAGGGCCAGUGUGAAAGAACACACUGAAAAAUCAACAUUCCUCAUGCAUCUUGAGAUCACGGCAGCAACAGGAGCAUAUUUCCAAACGGCCAGACUCAAACACCAGCAAGUCGGGCAGAGGAUCUAGUCUCUCCAGAGGACUGUGGCUCAUCUCGCAUGAACACAGGCCAUCGGGGGCAGGAAGGUGGGAAUGAGACUUGGGCAGCAAAAUUCUGGAUUGCUUGGAAAUACCCAUUGUUCAGCACAUUAUGCUUCUCACUGCAGCCACAGGUCUUUCAGUAACUUCCAAUUAUUUCCAUUUUUGUUCUACCCCUCUGUUCAUUUUCUGCUUGCACAAAAUAAAAAGAAGCCAGAUUGCUCUCGUUUUUAAAUCCUAA